rnacentral:piRNA from 1 species
GACUGUGAUGUGGAAAUGUGAGCC